GGUAGUGUUGUUAACCACGUCCAGAAUCAUCUGAAGUUGGCUGUCCAUCAGGAUGAUUUCACAAUUGUCAAGUGUAACUUAAAAUGCAGGGAAUAUGCGCAUUUUCAUUGCUGCUACUGUCCUGCCACUGUUCUUCGAAGAGGCCAGUUAAAAACACAUCUCACAAAAUGCAAGCAGAAGUUCAAUGCUGAAGAAGAAUUUGAAGGAACCUACUCAUUUGAGGAUAGUCCUGAACAUGAGUAGUGUAUUUAUUUAUUUUUUAGUUCUGAUACUGUUGAUUCACUAGUUCAUACAUUUAGUUCCCUGUUAGCAACAGGUAACACUCAGAACUGUAGUAUUUGGUGGAUUAUGAAACUAUGUUGUGGGAAAUAAACAUUUACUAAGAAUGCA